AUGAACGCUGGCGGCGUGCCUCAUCCAUGCAAGUCGCGCGAACAGACGAGGAGCUUGCUCCUUUGACGUUAGCGGCGGACGGGUGAGUAACACGUGGGUAACCUACCUAUAAGGCUGGGAUAACUUCGGGAAACCGGAGCUAAUACCGGAUAAUAUUUCGAACCGCAUGGUUCGAUAGUGAAAGAUGGCUUUGCUAUCACUUAUAGAUGGACCUGCGCCGUAUUAGCUAGUUGGUAAGGUAACGGCUUACCAAGGCAACGAUACGUAGCCGACCUGAGAGGGUGAUCGGCCACACUGGAACUGAGACACGGUCCAGACUCCUACGGGAGGCAGCAGUAGGGAAUCUUCCGCAAUGGGCGAAAGCCUGACGGAGCAACGCCGCGUGAGUGAUGAAGGUCUUCGGAUCGUAAAACUCUGUUAUUAGGGAAGAACAAACGUGUAAGUAACUGUGCACGUCUUGACGGUACCUAAUCAGAAAGCCACGGCUAACUACGUG
rnacentral:rRNA from 1 species